UGAAAAACUGUGAAUGAGAGAGUAGAUAUUAGAAAAGUUUUAAGGGAGAGAAGGUCAUAGACUGUAAGCCUUCUUAAAUAAUAUAAUAUUGAAGUUCGCUCAGGAGUUCUAGCUGUGAAAUUUAUAGUAGUAGCUAGCGGCAAGAAGAGUCGUUAAUUAAAUUGAGUUGGGUACUUUUUUAGUUCCAAUUAGGGUGGUAACGCGGAUAAUUCGUCCCUUUU
rnacentral:ncRNA from 1 species